GACAUAGGGCGCAAGCGUUGUCCGGAUUUAUUGGGCGUAAAGAGCUCGUAGGCGCCUGUCGCGUCGACCGUGAAAACCCGCAGCUCAACUGCGGGCUUGCGGUCGAUACGGGCAGGCUCGAGUUCGGUAGGGGAGACUGGAAUUCCUGGUGUAGCGGUGAAAUGACGCAGAUAUCAGGAGGAACACCGGUGGCGAAGGCGGGUCUCUGGGCAACAACUGACGCUGAGGAGCGAAAGCGUGGGGAGCGAACAGG
rnacentral:rRNA from 1 species